GCUGCUGGUCCGGCGGAAUACCUUCCUUAUCUUGAAUCUUGGCCUUGACGUUGUCGAUCGUGUCCGAGCUCUCGACCUCCAAGGUGAUGGUCUUGCCGGUGAGGGUCUUGACGAAGAUCUGCAUGCCUCCACGGAGACGGAGGACAAGGUGGAGGGUGGACUCCUUUUGAAUGUUAUAAUCGGCGAGGGUGCGGCCGUCUUCCAGCUGCUUGCCGGCGAAGAUCAGACGCUGCUGGUCCGGGGGGAUGCCCUCUUUAUCCUGGAUCUUGGCCUUGACGUUGUCGAUCGUGUCCGACGACUCGACCUCCAAAGUGAUGGUCUUGCCGGUGAGGGUCUUGACGAAGAUCUGCAUCUGUUAUAGAAGAGAAGUGAAAAAACGAAGGAUCAGAGGAAGUUCUAACAACGAGAGAGACGAAAGGGCCGAUAGAUCGGCAGAUGGUCGAGCCGAUGAGUAGAUCGGUCAAGGUCAAAGGAUGGAAAGAGAACAAAUAAAAAAACCGAGAGCUAUGAAGCGAACCAGAUCAUAUAAUCAGGAAUUUUUUCAGAUCUAAUCAAAAACCUAAAAAGAAAUAGAAUUCGCUGGUAGAACUAUCAGAUCUAGAGGAAAUAAACCAAGAAAAAUACCUUGAUUAACACCAAAAUAUCAGAAAAGAUAGAGAAAAGAUGAAGGAUA
rnacentral:lncRNA from 1 species